CGGGUGGUAAUGCCGGAUGCUCCAUCACACUGCAUGGUGUGUUGGGAAAGCCUUUGCGGCAUGGGAUGGGGUCGCGUCCUAUCAGCUUGAUGGCGGGGUAACGGCCCACCAUGGCUUCGACGGGUAGCCGGCCUGAGAGGGCGACCGGCCACAUUGGGACUGAGAUACGGCCCAGACUCCUACGGGAGGCAGCAGUGGGGAAUAUUGCACAAUGGGCGCAAGCCUGAUGCAGCGACGCCGCGUGAGGGAUGGAGGCCUUCGGGUUGUAAACCUCUUUUGUUAGGGAGCAAGGCAUUUUGUGUUGAGUGUACCUUUCGAAUAAGCACCGGCUAACUACGUGCCAGCAGCCGCGGUAAUACGUAGGGUGCAAGCGUUAUCCGGAAUUAUUGGGCGUAAAGGGCUCGUAGGCGGUUCGUCGCGUCCGGUGUGAAAGUCCAUCGCUUAACGGUGGAUCCGCGCCGGGUACGGGCGGGCUUGAGUGCGGUAGGGGAGACUGGAAUUCCCGGUGUAACGGUGGAAUGUGUAGAUAUCGGAAAAAAAAA
rnacentral:rRNA from 1 species